rnacentral:rRNA from 1 species
UACGUAGGGGGCUAGCGUUGUCCGGAAUCAUUGGGCGUAAAGAGCGUGUAGGCGGUCCGGUAAGUCCGCUGUGAAAGUCGGGGGCUCAACCCUCGAAUGCCGGUGGAUACUGUCGGGCUAGAGUGCGGAAGAGGCGAGUGGAAUUCCUGGUGUAGCGGUGAAAUGCGCAGAUAUCAGGAGGAACACCGGUGGCGAAGGCGGGAUCCUGGGCCAGUACUGACGCUGAGGAGCGAAAGCGUGGGGAGCAAACAGG